rnacentral:rRNA from 1 species
CCUACGGGAGGCUGCAGUGGGGGAUAUUGCACAAUGGGCGAAAGCCUGAUGCAGCGACGCCGCGUGAGCGAAGAAGGAUCUCGGUAUGGAAAGCUCUAUCAGCAGGGAAGAAAAUGACGGUACCUGACGAAGAAGCUCAGGCUAAAUACGUGCCAGCAGCCGCGGUAAUCCGUAUGGAGCAAGCGUUAUCAGGAUUUACUGGGUGUAAAGGGAGCGUAGGCGGCUCUGUAAGUCUGAUGUGAAAAUUUGGGGCUCAACCCCAAACGUGCAUUGGAAAGUGCAGGGCUUGAGUGCCGGAGAGGCAUGCGGAAUGCUUAGUGUAGCGGUGAAAUGCGUAGAUAUCAGGAGGAACACUAGUGGCGAAGGCGGCCUGCUGG